rnacentral:rRNA from 1 species
UACGUAGGGGGCGAGCGUUGUCCGAAGUUACUGGGCGUAAAGCGCACGUAGGCGGCUUUGUAAGUUAGAGGUGAAAGCCCGGGGCUCAACCCCGGAAUUGCCUUUAAGACUGCAUCGCUUGAAUCCGGGAGAGGUGAGUGGAAUUCCGAGUGUAGAGGUGAAAUUCGUAGAUAUUCGGAAGAACACCAGUGGCGAAGGCGGCUCACUGGACCGGUAUUGACGCUGAGGUGCGAAAGCGUGGGGAGCAAACAGG